rnacentral:rRNA from 1 species
UACGUAGGGGCUAGCGUUGUCCGGAAUCAUUGGGCGUAAAGAGCGCGUAGGCGGCUGGAAUAGUCCGGUGUGAAAUCCACAGGCUUAACCUGUGAAUGCCGCUGGAAACUGUCUGGCUAGAGUCCGGAAGGGGCGAGUGGAAUUCCUGGUGUAGCGGUGAAAUGCGCAGAUAUCAGGAGGAACACCAAUGGCGAAGGCAGCUCGCUGGACGUACUGACGCUGAGGCGCGAAAGCGUGGGGAGCAAACAGG